GUAUCCCUACUCCUCUUGCGUGGUUUGCACAUCAUUUGCCCUCCUGGUUUCAAAGAUUUAGUGUUAUGAUGACGUUUGUCAUAGAAAUACCGAUCCCAUUCUUAUUCUUUUCACCGAUAAGAUCCCUACGAAUGUUUGCUUUUUAUUUGCAGGUGACGUUCCAGUUGCUGAUAAUUGCCACAGGAAAUUAUAAUUUCUUUAAUUUGCUCACCAUCGCUCUGUGCUUGUCACUUCUUCAUGACAAUGAUCU